GAUGAACGCUAGCGGCAGGCUUAAUACAUGCAAGUCAAGGGGGUAGCAAUACAACCGGCGCACGGGUGAGUAACGCGUACACAACAUACCAUAUACUGGGGUAUAGCUUUGGGAAACUGAAGGUAAUCCCCCAUAACAUUGCGAGAGGGCAUCUGAUUGCAAUUAAAGUUUCGACGGUAUAUGAUUGGUGUGCGUUUGAUUAGCUUGUUGGUAGGGUAACGGCCUACCAAGGCGACGAUCAAUAGCUGGCGUGAGAGCGCGACCAGCCACACUGGAACUGAGACACGGUCCAGACUCCUACGGGAGGCAGCAGUAGGGAAUAUUGGACAAUGGGCGAAAGCCUGAUCCAGCCAUGCCGCGUGAUAGAUGAAGGCCCUCUGGGUUGUAAAUAUCUUUUAUCUGGGAAGAAACCCCUCGUUUCUACAGGCUUGACGGUACCAGAGGAAUAAGCACCGGCUAACUCCGUGCCAGCAGCCGCGGUAAUCUGUAGUCGUC
rnacentral:rRNA from 1 species